rnacentral:rRNA from 1 species
UGGGGAAUAUUGGACAAUGGGCGAAAGCCUGAUCCAGCCAUGCCGCGUGUGUGAAGAAGGUCGUCGGAUUGUAAAGCACUUUAAGUUGGGAGGAAGGGCAGUAAGCGAAUACCUUGCUGUUUUGACGUUACCGACAGAAUAAGCACCGGCUAACUCUGUGCCAGCAGCCGCGGUAAUACAGAGGGUGCAAGCGUUCAUCGGAAUUACUGGGCGUAAAGCGCGCGUAGGUGGUUCGUUAAGUUGAAUGUGAAAGCCCCGGGCUCAACCUGGGAACUGCAUCCAAAGCUGGCGGGCUAGAGUAGGGCAGAGGGUGGUGGAAUUUCCUGUGUAGCGGUGAAAUGCGUAGAUAUAGGAAGGAACACCAGUGGCGAAGGCGACCACCUGGGCUCAUACUGACACUGAGGUGCGAAAGCGUGGGGAGCAAACAGG